ACACUAAAAAGUCUCUAACACAGCUGUGUUAGAGACUUUUUAGAAACUGUUAGUGUUAGAGACUAAAAAGUCUCUAACACAGCUGUGUUAGAGACUUUUUAGUGU
rnacentral:pre_miRNA from 1 species